UCCAACACAAGGGAGCAAAGAAUUUAUGCAAGCUUUAGGAAACACAAAUCCUACUGUUGAGUAAAUACUGAGAACACGGCUUCUGCUCUUUAUAGGAAUGGUGCCUCGGUGACACCGCUGUGGCCGUGCAUACGCAUUAAAGAUGCAGUAGGCCACAUUGCUUCUUUAUACAUCGUGAUGGACAGCCGGCGUAGCCAAUCAAAGGUGCUGAAACAAAUAUCCAAGCCAGAUAGGGAGAUCUGGCUUCUGAAGUUGUUGACACAAAGCAGAUAAGUCUUCUUGUUUUACGCCAGAUUUUGCUUUCUUCCGGUGGAACCUAUUUUCAGUUGAAGUAAACUUGAUUUUCAGAUCACACGGUUGAGGGCCUCAUACGAACAGUUCCACCAUGAGAUGACCCGACUAGCUGGUCAAGUCCAUCCCAGCGCCGAGGCAGAGCAUGAAGGUGAGACGCGGCCCGCCUGGCAGCGGCGCGGUCACCGGCUGGCCGGAUGUUUACCUGUGGGCUGCAGAGCAAGCCGAGGAGGGUCAGCAGCAGCAGAGCGUCCCCCCCCGGAGCCCCCCUCCACGACCUCCUGCCGGGGGAGGGCAGCGGCAGCAGCAUCGGCCUGGUGGCGGUGGUCACUUUGGUUCCUCGUGAGGUUCUCUGAAUCCUCGCGGUUGUCGCGUCUUCUCCUCCCUUUGCCGAGCGACACCUUUCGUCCGCCUCAACGUCCUCACUCGAGCUCCAUCCUGUUCCCGACGCUCCGCACCUUACGGUGCCUCCUCGAUGACGACUUUCUCAACACGAUCGGGGGAAACACAACUCGAUCUAGAUAGUACAGAACAACGCACAGCUCUGACUUCCCGGUUUGGUCUUCAAUGAUUAAUCUUCACACACACACACCUCUACACACACACACACACACACACACACACACACACACACACACACACACACACACACACACACACACACACACACACAGAAAUACACAAACACCUCCACAC